rnacentral:rRNA from 1 species
AGCGAACGCUGGCGGCAGGCUUAACACAUGCAAGUCGAACGGGCGUAGCAAUACGUCAGUGGCAGACGGGUGAGUAACGCGUGGGAACGUACCUUUUGGUUCGGAACAACACAGGGAAACUUGUGCUAAUACCGGAUAAGCCCUUACGGGGAAAGAUUUAUCGCCGAAAGAUCGGCCCGCGUCUGAUUAGCUAGUUGGUGAGGUAACGGCUCACCAAGGCGACGAUCAGUAGCUGGUCUGAGAGGAUGAUCAGCCACAUUGGGACUGAGACACGGCCUAAACUCCUACGGGAGGCAGCAGUGGGGAAUAUUGGACAAUGGGCGCAAGCCUGAUCCAGCCAUGCCGCGUGAGUGAUGAAGGCCCUAGGGUUGUAAAGCUCUUUUGUGCGGGAAGAUAAUGACGGUACCGCAAGAAUAAGCCCCGGCUAACUUCGUG